AUUAUACAUGGGUACAGGCUUUUUUCCAGCAUCGACAUGCCAUUUUUAGGGUGCGUAUUAUGCACGGGGGCGUAUUUUACAUGGAAAAUCACGGUAUUUGUUAUUGAUGUUAAAAUGGGGCGUGGCU